GACCUCACGUAGGUCUCACAUUAUUUCAUCUCUAGAUGGGAUCCGUAGAGGAGGAGGGGGAGGGGUAACUUCUACAUAUGGAUUCUACUCCAAAGGUGGUCAUCAUGGUAUAGAGGUUUCAGAAAAUUCUGGAUCAACUGCUCUAUAGCUUUGACUGGAUGCUGGUUUUUCCCUCCACUGGAGAUUUGGCCGAUAUUGGCUAUGAUGGUGGCUAUGGUAGCUUCUGAAAGAUUCUCCUCAGGACUAUCCAGUGAUCUAGAUAGUGUUUUCUCAUUUAUUUGAGGUCUUUGGUAUCUAUCUUUGUCAGAUGGUGGGUAUCGGUUAUUUUGGUGUCGAACCUUCGAAUACCUUCUUGGUGGAGCCUCAGGAGAUUUGUGAGCAGAAUGAUGAGAAUGGGAGCUAUGGAUUCUCAUGUAGUUGUGUUGUUCAUCUCUAUGAGAGAGGGUUCUAGCAAGCGCCUGAGAGUUUUGUUUGCUUUGUAGCUGAGGGGCUAUUCCGGAGUCCUCAGGGUCUUCUUUUAACUCCUGACAGUCCUUCAUUCAGAAGACAGUAGUGGAGACAAUGGUUUUUGAGUCUUUUAUACUCAAGUGAGAUUAGGGGUUCAUUUCCAUUUUGGAAUUCAACAAUAGUUUCUUUGAUCAGAGGCUAGAGUCCAUUGACAAGGUCUCUCAUCUUUAUUGUUGUCGGGGUUAUUUAUGAGCUAGGAGUUCACCUAGUUCCUCUCCUAUUGAUGAGAUCAUUUCAAUCUUCCAGUAUUGCUUUGGUACGUAGUCCCUUAAUAUCAAUCCAGAAAGGGAUUUUGGAGGGGGAAUAGGAGGAGAUGACAGGCUCCCAACGCUGAAGUAUGAAUUCAUUGGUCAAAAUGAUAUCGUCUAUUAUCUAAGACUUUCUGAAAGUCUUUUUUAAAGUCGAACAGGAACUGAAAGCAACCAUUUCCAUGGUCAGAUCCUAUGGCCUUUCCUCUUAGAUUUCAUCUGUUAGACAGAAAUGGUAUAAGAGACCAUAAGCGUUGAAAUCUAGGGUUUGUGAGUCUCCCCGUGAGUGUGGUAGGGGAUUCGUCUAUCCAUGAUGGAGAGCUGACGAAAAGGUUUUGUAGACGCUAGGGUUCUUCACCCUAAGGUCGCACGGUUCUUCAUAGGAGUGAGAGAGUUCAGGUACAUACGAAAGAGGUCUUAAAUAAGAAAGAAGUAAGACUGUUACCAUGGUAGGGACUUAACUACUGAAAUGGGUCGACUACAGUUGUACUAACCAGAAGAAUUGAUGAGAGUAGCAUCCAUGGGGGUACAAAGGUGUUGUAGGAAUUGAUUUUCUGAGUUCGGUUAUCCCUUGCCUGCCGUUGGAAAACUUUAGGAAAUCAUGGCCAUCAUGGUGAGGGAUGUCUCCUACGCCGGACUCACCCCAAACCGCCGGUGAACUCUCAAACUAGCGUCCGAAUUUGCCCAAAAGUCAAUAUUUUACUAGAAAUGGUAUGAAAAAGUCAAUAUUUUAUUUCUUCAACUAUUGUUUAGAAUCUUUAAUUUAGUUUUCUGGUCCAUAUAUAUCAUAAA